CAUAUACUCCCUCCGUCUCAUAUUAACUGACUUUCUAUUACAUGUAUCUAGACGCUUUUUAGAUAUAAAUACAUUUAUAUUUGGACAAAUUUGAGUCACUUAUAUGAGACGGAGGGAGUAUUCC
rnacentral:pre_miRNA from 1 species